GACGAACGCUGGCGGCGUGCCUAAUACAUGCAAGUAGAACGCUGAAGGAGGAGCUUGCUUCUCUGGAUGAGUUGCGAACGGGUGAGUAACGCGUAGGUAACCUGCCUGGUAGCGGGGGAUAACUAUUGGAAACGAUAGCUAAUACCGCAUAAGAGUAGAUGUUGCAUGACAUUUGCUUAAAAGGUGCAAUUGCAUCACUACCAGAUGGAACUGCGUUGUAUUAGCUAGUUGGUGGGGUAACGGCUCACCAAUGCGACGAUACAUAGCCGACCUGAGAGGGUGAUCGGCCACACUGGGACUGGGACACGGCCCAGGCUCCUACGGGAGGCAGCAGUAGGGAAUCUUUGGCAAUGGCCGGAAGUCUGACCGAGCAACGCCGCGUGAGUGAAGAAAGUUUUCGGAUCGUAAAGCUCUGUUGUAAGAGAAGAACGAGUGUGAGAGUGGAAAGUUCACACUGUGACGGUAGCUUACCAGAAAGGGACGGCUAACUACGUG
rnacentral:rRNA from 1 species